rnacentral:ribozyme from 17 species
CAAAAAAUAAAAGAAUAAAAAGAGAGAAAAGCAAAUCAAGAACCACAUCUUGUAAUUUUUCAUUUGUUGCUGCUUCUUGACCUUGGUUGCUUUUUUCU